rnacentral:lncRNA from 1 species
CAAACCCCCUUUGACUGUAAUUUUCCUUUACCUACCCAAAUCCUAUAAAACAGCUCCACCCCUAUCUCCCUUCACUGACUCUCUUUUCGGACUCAGCCCCCCUGCACCCAGGUGAAAUAAACAGCCAUGUUGCUCACACAAAGCCUGUUUGGUGAUCUCUUCACAUGGAUGCACAUGAAAUUUGGUGCUGUGACUCAGAUCGGGGGACCUCCCUUGGGAGAUCAAUCCCCUGUACUCCUGUUCUUUGCUCCAUGACAAAGAUCCACCUAUGACCUCAGGUCCUCAGACCGACCAGCCCAAGGAACAUCUCACCAAUUGUAAAUCAGUGAACAUAUGAGAGUGCACCAACAUUUGAAUGUAUUUUCAAACUUUUGAAUUUUUACCAAUAUCAGUAUACUUUUAAUUUCAAUUUUCUUACUAUGGGUAAGUUGUACUUAUUUUUGUAUGGCUAAAGUGCACUUGGAUUUUAUUUUCUGUGUGUUCUAUGUUUUCAUUUCAAACACAUUUUUCUAUAGGAUUUUAAUCUUUUUCUCCUUUUUUGAGAACACUUUAGAAAAUAAGAUAUCCCCUGUUCUGUGUUAUAAGUUGCAAAUAUUGAUCUUGUCUUUUUACUUUGCUGGCUGUAUCUUUUGCCUUUCAAUAAUUUAUAUUUUUAUGUAAUAAAACAUCUAUUUUUCCUUUAUUUCUUCUGGAUUUUGAGUCUCUUCAGGUUACUGAUGGAUUCACCUAGUUUUUUUCUAGUAUUUUUAUAGUUUUACUUUUAUAUUUAAAUAUCUGAAAUAUUUAGAAUUUACCCAGCAUAGAGUAUACUACAAAAAAUGGAUCCAAAUUUACUUUUUUAUAUACUAUCCAGUUAUUCCAUUUAGAAGUUUUUUUUUUAACCUCUCUGUAACUCAGUUUCCUCAGCUGUAAAAUCAGUGUGCUAAUAGUACUUGCCUCAUAGAUUUAUUGUAUGGAUUAUAUGAGACAAUGUAGGUAUAGUACUUAGCAUGAUGCCUAGCACAUGAUAAAAGCUUAAUGAUGAUGAAGAUGUUGUAUUAGUAGAGACUUCAGUGGUUUUAGCCCCUUAUUCUGGUCUAAGGUCAGUAAUGAGCACUAAAAAGAGCUUCCAUAAAUGACUGGUAGUUUCUUAGCCAUCCUCCAAUGAGAGGGGUUGGUUUUAUUGUAGAACUGGUUGUAGAGGGCAGUAAGAACAGAUGUAAGUCCUGUGUGACAAGAAUGGGGAGAACUGUGAGAGGCUAAAAGACAAAUUGAUCUAGAGACAAAUAUUUCAACUUGUUCAAGAUAUACAUAAGUCAACAGCAUGUUCUUGGGUCUGAUUUCAGCAAAAUUGCUUUUGAUAGCUAAGCAAUUACUAUUCUGGGCAUAUUUAGUGGCCAGGGUUAGGAAAAAGAAAGGUUACACUGUAGUGAAAUCUUAUGAGUUAAGAUCUUCUGUUAAGUAGUACAUGUUUAUAAUUCUGAUUUUCAUGCAUAGUUUAAUAUCGCCUUCAUUAAUCUUAUCAGGUUAUUUUCCUUGACCACCUGCUUGCUGUAAAAGAACUCUAAAUGGACAAUGUAUUUCCAUAUCCCAAAAAAUGAUGUUUUUUUGGACAUAAGGUAUAUGUUUCAAUAUUACUUCACUGAUUGGAAAAUGGUAAUAUCAAAUAACCGGUCCCUCCGUUUGGGGUCCCUGACUUCCCGUGACACUGUUGAUUGACAAUCUGUCUACAGACCAUGUGUAGAAAUGUAGAAAUGAACACAAAGGCAUGAACACAAAUCUCUGACAUUGUAUAAUUUUAAACUGCAAUUAAUUACUAGCAGCUAUGCAAAAAAUAAUUUACAUUAGGAUAUAAUAAAUUUAUUGAAAAAUUAAGUAUACAUGCAUUUUUUUGCAUAAAUGCAAAAAGAAAUUGAGUGAAAAAAACAGUGCAAAAAGUCUAAGUAAGAGUUUAAGGUGAGGACAGUCAUGGAGAGGACCAUUUCAAUAUAUCACUACUGUUAUUCUUUUGUCAGUUAUAUAUGAAAAACACAUACAAAAGAAUGGAAAAGGAAGGUAAUAACAAUAUUAUUAGAUGAUAGUUGAUGUUUUUAUUUAAUAUAUGCUAUUAUCUAACAUAUGCUAUAAUUUAAUGACAUAAAGGGUCAAUAUAUACUCUGGCCCAUAUACUGGGUGACUUGGAGGCUCCCAUUUUUGAGCGGAGCACAAAACAUAAGGUGCUGUAGCAGCUCUAGGCUGUGGUAUAAUCAGCCUCCUGCCUUAGACCAUACAAUUUUAAAGUCCCUAUGGUGUUGGAGAAACCAGCAGUUGGAAAAGAUGCAGUAUGAAGCUCUUCUAAAUACUUUUUUUCUUGGCAAAGAAAAUGGCAAAGAUAUGUGCAAAUCUAAACAAACAUUAACUGCAUACACAAUAAGAAUAAUGUUCAAUAUGGGAGGAUUAAGAAAAUAUGUGAGAACGAAAAGAUUUAUGUAAUAACAUGUAUGCUGGGAUGUAGAUGGUCAGAGUUAACCCAUCCUAAAAUCUUUGCAUUAUUUGGUGCGAGGAAAAAGAUUUUGAUUAAUUUUAUAUUAAAGUCAGUGUUCUUGUUAGAAUUUUAAGAAUAACCACUGAAAAAAUUGUACUAGAAUAUGAAACUUGUAUACUAAUGCAGCAAAAAAAUGAAAUACAAAAUGUAAAAACUCAACCUACAUCAGAGAAGAACUUAAAAGUAGGAUAGAUUUAAAAACUCCAGUAGAAAUAAAUCAAAAUAUGUCAGUAAUCAUAAUAUAUUAUUUUGAGAUACAUAUAUACACAUUAUAAAACUAUGAAGUAAUUUUAGUCCUGAAUGAAGUUAUUAAACUUGACAAGGUUUGUUUGUUUUUGGAGUUGCUGUUUUAGAUCUUUCUUAGCUUUUCUUCCAGUGUUUAUUUAUACUUACUGUCAGGAACUUAUUCUAUAAAUCUUAUUGAAUCAUCAUCUUAAGGCAUCUUAUAACAUUUUAUUGUUUGUAAGAAGAGCAACUGAAAUAUCACUCAUUAUUCUUUCAAAUCAAAUCAGUGGCAUUUACUCUACUCUCUUAGCUAAAGCUCUCCUGGCCUCUGUUGCCGAGUGAAUCCUGAGGCUGCUGCAGCUGGGAGAAUUGAGGCAUAACCAUACCAGGUGAAGUAUGAAGUUAUGAGGAGAAAGGAACAGAGGACAACCACACAGAGAAAGUGUAGCUUUAUCUACUAGAGCUGAAGACAUUCAAAUUUAUGAUCCAACAAUUCUACUCUGAAGUGCAGUGGUGUAUAUACUGCAACAAUGUGUACUCAUGUGCCCUGAGAACUAGAUAUGAAAAAACCUUACAGCAAUAUGCAUAAUAGUAAAAAAAAAAAAAAAAAACUGGAAACAACAAAAAUGUUCAUUGACCAUAUACAAUGAUAAAUGUGGUAUACUCGUAGCAUGGAAAACUACACAACAUUGAAAAUGAACAAACUAAAACUGUACACAGCAACAUGAACGAAUUCCACAGAUAAUAUUGAGUGAAAGAUACCAGACACCAAAUAAUAUCCCAUAUGAUUUCAUUUACAUUAAAUGUUUUUUUUUUGAGAUGGAGUCUCGCUCUGUUGCCCAGGCUGGAGUGCAGUGGCACAAUCUUGGCUCACUGCAACCUCUGCUUUUCAGGUUCAAGCUAUUCUCCCACUUCAGCCUCCCCAGUAGCUGGGACUACAGGUACCUGCCACCACGCCCAACUAAGUUUUGUGUUUUCAGUAGAUAUGGGGGUUUCACCAUGUUGGCCAGGCUGGUCUUGAACUCCUGGCCUCAAGUGAUCUGCCCACCACGGCCUUCCAAAGUGCUGGGAUUACAGGUGUGAGCCACCGUGCCCGGCCUCAUUUAUAUUAAAUUUAACACAGGCAGACUAAUCCAUUAUGCUAGAAGUCAGGAGAGUGGUUACUUUGAGGAAGAGAGGACUGACUGAUCAGGCUUGAGGGGAUUCUAAAGUGGUGGCAGGGUUUGGUUUCUUGACCAAUAUUACUGAUAUUCAUUAUGGAGCUCCUUAAACACUUUAAAUUUUACUUGUGUAAUGGGAUUAUGUCUACUUCAAGCGGUUAUUGUAAGGAUUAAAUAACAAUGUAUGUAAAGUGCUGUGCAGUGUACCAUGUCUAAUAAAUACUCCAACAGCUGUAAUUGUCAUUGCUAUCAAUAUCACUGUUAAGCUGUAUAUAUAAUAAGUUUUGAAAACUUACAUAGUUAACCAUAUUCAAUCUCCAUUUUGUGUUAGACAGUUCUCAAACCCUGAGGUGCUUUCCUGGAAACAGUCCUAUUGAAAGCAGCUGCUCCAUUAUUGUAAGGAUGUUGUUGAGGGUAUUGGUGUUAUAGCACAUUUGUUCUCUUGGGAAGGACCUACCGAAGAAAUAUCUUUCUGAUCUCAAUUUGAAAUUAAUUGUACUCUCCUGAGCAACAGAUUUUGAUUAUUGUCCAAGUUUAAUAUUACACACAUUGUGAAUCCUGUAGGGAAAUGUAUCUUUCUUCUUGGCUUUCUAUUUGGAUACUGAAAAUCUUAGAAUCAAAUCUGUGCUCUAGCUUUAUCAAAUGUAUAUAGACUUACACCAUGCAUUUUCUGGAUAAACUGCGUUUUCCUUAUUUACUUGUUUUUGUUUGUUUUUGUCUCAUGUUUAUGUAAGCUACCUUAAAUUCUUUUGGGAGCAAGCAGAAGGCUUAAGCACAUAAACGAAAAACAAAUAAAUGACAUCAUGUUGGAUUUAGUUAUGGAAAUAUCUGCCAAGACAGUAGUAUUCACCAAGUUGAAACUCUUAAAAAAUGUGCUGAAUAAAUGAAUACAUGAGCGAUUUGGCAUUUGGGGAUGGCUCCAUUAAAAACAAAAUAGAACUUGAGCAAAACUUUGGAAAAAUUGAAGCCUGUGUAAUGAAUAAGGGACUGGGGCAUAUUGAAAAUGAUAGUAUAAAAUGGAGUGAAAUCAGCAUGGCACUGUGAUCCACAGAACAUCCUAUUCAGAGUACAGAAGUGUUGGCGAUAGACGUCAAUUGAUGACUGUGAUGGGGGACACUUUCUUCUUCACAAUAAAAUGAAGAAGGGACAAAUCCAAGUAGAAAAAUUAAUAGCCUUAGUAACAAAUUACACAGAAAGUGCAGAAAAGGAGAAAUCAGGAGUCUUUUCAAGAUUGUUUUUGGCUUAACAUAGAAAUGAAAAUUUGAGGGACAGCCAACUAAAGAAGCCAUACUCAAACAGCUCAUGAGACACAGUUACAAGUCCAGGCAAUUAAUUUCUUCAUUGUAAAUCACAAAUUUAGAAUUUGUGAAUUCUGAUGAUGUAGUUUUGUAUUUCGUACAUUAAUAAAUCAGUGGAAUGUAAUAUUUCUCCUUUGGGAUUGAUUGCAAGCAAAGGUCAGUUAGGACUUGAACAAUGGAUGGAGCAGAAGGGAUAAAAAAUUGCAUCAUUUUAUCAUGGUUUUAGUACUUUUAUAACAAAACAUAAAUGCAUGGUUUGUAUCAACAAAUGAAUAAAAGAAUUGUAAAAAGGUCUACAUAGGGAGACCUUAAUUAGGGAAGCUUGGGUAUACUCUGGUUUUCAGCUUUCCCACCUUUCAUUUGAUUUUUUCAUCAUCUUAGUUUUUCCUUUGUGAGGCAAUUUCCUGAGGAAAAACUGGGGUUACUGCCUUUAGUGUCUGCUCACCCCCAACAAGCUUUUCCUUUCCUGUUACUGUUUUUUCUUCCUUUGAUUUUUUUUUUUUCUCUGAAACAUACGUAUCAAUGAGUUCUUUCACUUGAUAAUCCUGAGAGUCCUGGAUCCGAACUGCAACUUGAGGCAGAGAUUUGGGGGAUCUAUUUUUACGUACAUUAUCUUCAUUUUGAAGGUGAAGAAGCCAACUGUAGGUGAAUUUUCCAGGACUGAGCAGAGUUUAGAGUUCAGAAAUCAUACACAAAUAGCCAUCAACAGUGAAUCCUGUCCUCUUGAUUCCUAUUCUGACUUCUGCAAGUUUUCCAACUAUGGCCUUUACCUCUACUUCCCUCUACACAUCACCAUUGUAACCCAUGUGUAUUUGAGGUCAAAUCUGGCCAAGAGUACCCUAUAAGUUGAGAAAGUAAUCCUAAUGUUCUGAGCACAAAAUAGUGUUCUUUGUAGCAUAAAAAAGGACCUUGACACACUAUUAAAUUUUAAAUUAUUUUAGUACAUGUUUUUAUAUUUUAUUUCAUUUUUGAAAAUAGAAUAUUUGUUCAAAGAUAUUUGUCAAGAUAAAACUUUUCUUAUGAUAAUUAAAUUACAAAAAGGAUUGCAUUAUGUGGAAAAUUAUUGUUUUCUUUUUUUUUUGAAUGUAUGGUACCUUCCAGCCUGUUACUCGUGCAAAUACUCCAAA